GGAGGGAUCAUUAACGCUCUCUCUCAUCAUAUAUCAAAAAGGCUUCGGUAUUAUUAUUAUUCUAAUAAUAAUAUCAAAGCUGAACGCCUUGUGCGCGCGCGCGCGCGCACACACUUGAUUGUCAAUUUCGCGAUUGAUUUAUUGGUGUGUGCGCGUGCGCGCGCGCGCGCGCGCUUGAAUUUUGCGCAUUACGCGCAAAAUUCAGUGUUGAAGUACUCCAACAUAUAUUACAUAAACUACCAAUUUACACUUGAAUCACAAACAACAUACAUAUAUAUGUAACCACAUAUAUCAAUAACAACCAAAAUAACAACUCCUAACAACGGAUAUCUUGGUUCUCGCGAGGAUGAAGAACGCAGCGAAAUGCGAUACGUAGUGUGAAUCGCAGGGAUCAGUGAAUCAUCGAAUCUUUGAACGCAAGUUGCGCUCUUGUGGUUUAUACCCCCCAGGAGCACGUUCGCUUGAGUGCCGCUUUCUUACCUAUUCCAUCUAUAAAGUCUUGUUGAGACGUUGUUAAAAAUCUUUCAACAAGGAAACGGGUUUUACCUACGCGCGCGCGCGCAAGCGCAAGCGUAUAGGCAUGGCCUUAGAUUGUGUGACCCGCAUUAUGUAAAAAUAAUAAUAAUAAUAGUCUUGUGUGCGUCCACCAUUUGAAUUAGAUGCGCGCAUAUGCAUAUAGUGUGCAGUGGCACUGUGAUGCAGCGCGGCCUACUUUGCAAACUCAGCGCAAGAGCAGCUGUGAGAGUGUGAGGUGGCAGAGUUUGGGUUUAUUAUUAAUCCGUGCGCGUGCGCGCGCGCGCGCGCUGAACAAAGUCCAAGUUCCAAACGCACACACAUGUUUAAGUAGUAGUAGUGUCGUGUCACCCGUAACUGGGUGUGCGUCGCCGCGGAAAUUUGAGCAUUGUGGUGUUGGAACUUGAUUAUGCUUCAGCGCGCGCGCGAAUGUGUGCGAAUAUGGAUUUUGAUGAACUCGCUUUGCUAUUCCAAAACCAAACAUUUUCUUACUACUACUUAUAUGUACUGAUGUUUCGCGCAAAGUGGGGUACGCUGCGUGUGAGUGUGUUGUACGCAUUAUCAUUGCGCCCUAAUAAUAGUUGGUGUGCGUAUAUAUAAGCAUAAGACUUAUUAUAUACACUCUUAUUAUAAUCCCGGCCUCAAGUCGAGCGACAGUACCCGCCGAAUUUAAGCAUAUUAAUAAGCGGAGGAAAAGAAACCAACAGGGAUUCCCUUAGUAGCGGCGAGCGAAGCGGGAGGAGCCCAAGCUCUGAAUCUGGGCGCGCGCCAAGUCCGUGCCCCGAAUUGUGGUCUCAUGGCAAGGCAUCGCUGAGCGCGGUUGCUGGUCGGGCAAAAGUCCCUUGGAAAAGGGCGCCAGGGAGGGUGACAGCCCCGUCCAUUGGUCCGGCACGAAGCAGCCGUCUCGAUCGCGCUGUUGCACUUGCCCCAGAGUCGGGUUGUUUGGGAAUGCAGCCCUAAGCGGGUGGUAAAUCCCACCCAAGGCUAAAUAUUGUCAGCGAGAGACCGAUAGCGAACAAGUACCGUGAGGGAAAGAUGAAAAGGACUUUGAAAAGAGAGUCAAAAGUGCUUGAAAUUGUUAGGAGGGAAGCGAUCGGCACCGGCAGUUCGUCUUUGUUAAAGCUGUUCAGUAGUUUAUUGUAGGAAGGCUGCGAAUGUAAAGAGUGCUUUAUUGUGCCUUUAUUUUGUGUCACUCUUGUGAUAAAUUAUGCAUUCAGUUUUAAUAGCGAGCCAGCAUCAGCUCCAUGUGUGUGGCUGACGGGUAAUAAGGAAUGGGCUUGGAAGGCCGGCUUCAUCGCCGUGUCCUUCCGACGCGACCUUAUUAUACCUGCCACACGCGAGGGCUGAGGAACCAAUUAACCCAUGCCCGCAAGGGCGAGGCAGUUGCGUCAUCGUAGUAGGCCUAUAUGUGGGGAUCGGGAACCGAUGCCUGUGUAUAGAUGUCUUAUUGCUUUGUGGCGCAAGUCCAUCUCUGGUGGGUUAGUGAUGCUGGCGGAACGGUGCUGAUCGACCCGUCUUGAAACACGGACCAAGGAGUCUAACACGUGCGCGAGUGUCCGGGUGGCAAACCUGGGCGCGGAGUGAAAGCAGAGGAUGGCAUUUAUGGUCAUCUGAGGUGGGAAGAUAUGUGCCCACUCGGGCAUAUAUCUGCACCACCGGCCGACCUGGAUUUUCUUGAAGGGUUUGAGCUAGAGCGUAUUUGUUGGGACCCGAAAGAUUGUGAACUAUGGGUGACCAGGACGAAGCCAGAGGAAACUCUGGUGGAGGUCCGAAGUGAUACUGACGUGCAAAUCGUUCAUCUGAGUUGCCUAUAGGGGCGAAAGACUAAUCGAACAAUCUAGUAGCUGGUUCCCUC
rnacentral:misc_RNA from 1 species